rnacentral:rRNA from 1 species
UACGAAGGGGGCUAGCGUUGCUCGGAAUCACUGGGCGUAAAGCGCACGUAGGCGGAUUGCUAAGUCAGGGGUGAAAUCCUGGAGCUCAACUCCAGAACUGCCUUUGAUACUGGCGACCUUGAGUCCGGGAGAGGUGAGUGGAACUGCGAGUGUAGAGGUGAAAUGCGUAGAGAUCCGGAGGAACACCAGUGGCGAAGGCGGCUGGCUGGACCUGACCUGACGCUGAGGCGCGAAGGCGUGGGGAGCGAACGGG